rnacentral:rRNA from 1 species
UACAGAGGUCCCAAGCGUUGUUUCGGAUUCACUGGGCGUAAAGGGUGCGUAGGCGGUCGGGUAAGUCUGAUGUGAAAUCUCACAGCUUAACUGUGAAACUGCAUUGGAUACUAUCCGGCUAGAGGAAUGGAGGGGAGACUGGAAUACUUGGUGUAGCAGUGAAAUGCGUAGAUAUCAAAGUGGAACACCAGUGGCGAAGGCGAGUCUCUGGACAUUUCCUGACGCUGAGGCACGAAAGCCAGGGGAGCAAACGGG